rnacentral:rRNA from 1 species
UACGAGGGGGGCAAGCGUUGUUCGGAAUUAUUGGGCGUAAAGGGUGCGUAGGCGGUUUGACAAGUCAUCUGUGAAAUCUAUGGGCUCAACCCAUAGUCUGCAGGCGAAACUGUCGGGCUUGAGUAUUGGAGAGGUGAGUGGAAUUUCCGGUGUAGCGGUGAAAUGCGUAGAUAUCGGAAGGAACACCGGUGGCGAAGGCGGCUCUCUGGACCGUAACUGACGCUGAGGCGCGAAAGCGUGGGGAGCAAACAGG